UGUCGAGAAGAGUUGGAAACGAUAGCCAUCGAGGCUGCAUGGUUUCUGUAUAACCUGCUUUUUUUCUUUAAGUUUGAGAGGUUAUGCUUUUAAGGGCUCGGUGACUGGUUCCAAGAUGGCGCUCUGGAGGAGAGGCAAGAAAUUAUUUGCAAUACUGGAUAACAGGAGGUAAUGGUGGAAACAAUGUGGCGAUGGAGCGCUGGACAAGCAAGUGAGAGAAUGUAAGGACCGUGGUGUGACUCAGAAGGCAGUUCCUGGAAGGCGGGAUCAGAGACGCCGUUGGAGACUUCACACCAGAUUUCCAGGAUCGUACCACCAUUGAGUUUCAGGACAUGAAAGUGGCUCCUUAGAAGACAAUGAGCUAAGAAUCAUUACAGCUAAAAGCUAAGUUUUUUAUGGUAUACGCUGACGUCAUCUGUUGGCUGAUGGACUUUUCAACUUUAGGGUCUCAUAGGUGAUCCUGAUCAUGGGCCACUGGAACUUCAGGGACUUCCCUAAGUGUAACAGCAGGACGAUGGAUGGAUGGAUGGAUGUCUGAGGAAAUCUCCAGUAGCAGCUUUUAAGUUCCAGUCAUCUGAAAACCGGUAUGAGCAUCCAGUUUGUUACUGUCUUUUGAGGAGAGCACUCUGGUAACAAGUUAAUGCAGGAAUAACUUCAUUCCCUCAUAAGAUUGAUAUAAAAGCAUGCAGUAAAAACCCAAGAAUGAAAUAAUUGAAAGGUUGAAUUGAUGAUUGAAAUAAUUAUUCCUGUAAUGCUGGAAUAAUUAUUUCUCAAUACAUUUUCCAUUAAGCAAAACAGCAAGUCCAGAGUUUGUUUACCUUGCAUAUCUUUAUCUUGAGUGUGUUCAGUCUCAAAGUGACCCUCAUUUUCUCUUUCCCUGUAUAGAAGGACAAUAGUGAUACUGCAGCUUGAUGCCAGCUGACGAUGAGGAGGUCAUCCUGAAGGUUUUCAAUUCCAGUCACAUCCUGUUGUUAUCUACAAGUAAAAAUAUGGUCUCAGUCAUUGGUUUUAAUUUAUUCUCAUUUAUUCUUGUUUAAUGCUCAUCUUGUUUAAUGCUCAUCAUAUUACAUUUGGCCUGUGGAACACCGCAGUUGUAAUUUGCACCACCAUCCAGCUGCUUUUGACCAUGAGAUGUUGAUCUUGUAUUUUAUCAUCCAGUUCACUGUUUACAUCUCAUCAUCCAACAUCUUAGACGGGAUCACUGCCUUCCGGAGCUACUGCAAGCAUGGGCAAUCAUCUGCCUCCACCUGCUGGCCAGUCCCACCAGGACCGAUUUUGAUCCAGUCCCAGUCACUAACACAAAUGUUCUGCUUUAAAAAAUACUGUAUAAGCUUCACAGGAUUUGGACCCUCAGCUUGGUCAGCUUGUUAAUUUAUCAUUAUUGUAAGCUUCAAAUUUACUGAAAAAUUCUCAUCAACAAAGGUAAUGCUUCAAAUUAAAAUAACCUCAAAUAUGUCAUAAUCUAAUCCUAAAACUACACAGUCUCAGAAAUCUUCUAUAGUAACUCAGAGAAUGGCUCUGUUGAUAAUCAAACCUCUUUCAAAUGAGACCUUUUCAAUCCAUGAGUAGAUUUUAGAUUUUAAAAUGUAUUGCACUUGUUUAAUAUAAAGUUGAUUAUGUAACGUAUAAUAUAAAGAAACUGUUAUUUCUUACAAACUACAAAUUUACAUUUUCUAUAAAAGAAAAAUGAGGAGGCACAGCAACUAUUCUGUCUAGAAAUUUGGUUUAAAGGACAUUUCUCUUUCUAAUUACCUCAGUUGAAUAUCCUUAUCUCUGAAGUCUUUGUUGGUUAGUGAGGAAACACUAACCAACACUUACUAACACAUCAAUUUCUUGAUUGAUGCUGAAAUGCUAAGCAGACCUAAUUGUUAAAUAAAACAGACAUCACAUCAUUUAGACCAAUACCCACAUUUUUUUUAUCUAUUUAACUCUUUUCAAAAUUAUGCAGUUAAUAUUUUAAGCUGUUCUCUUCAGAUGGGCUUUUUUUCUCUGCUCAUCUUUUUUUAGGCAAAGUUUUAGAGAAGAUUGUUUUUAAUAAACUAACCUCUUAUUUAAACUAUUAACAACAUUAUAGAAAAAUACCAGCCUGGUUUUAGACCCCCCUCAUACCACAGAAGCUGGACUACUAAAGAGUUUAAACAACAUGAGAUCUUACUCAGACAGAUUGAGCUUUUUUUAACGGUUCUGAAUUGAUUUAACUUCUAUCUCAGGAAAAUAAAGUUAUUUAUCAACAUAGGACAAAAUGCUAUGACAUAAGCUACAGUGAUGUUAAAAGCAAACAACUUGGUUUUUAAUCUGUUCUUGUCUAUUUAGUUGUAAUUUUAGUAACUUUUACAUUUUUACUUUUAUUUCUGUUGAAGUUAUUAAUAAUAAAUGCAAGUACUGCAAUAUUUUAAAAAAUACUUUUCUUUAUAAUUUCAGAUUGCAUCAUUUAUAACAAUUAUUUAUGGGAUUUUUCAUCUGGAUUAUUACUUAUUAAAUGUACAUAUGUCUCCAGUGUUUUCUUGCUAGUCUACUCAAUUAUAUUCCCACAGCGCCUCAUCUGCUAUAAUUUACUAAUUCUUGCAUUGUUUCAUUACCGUAAAUUGCUGGUUUUCUCUUGAUUUAAUAAUUUUGAUAAUUUUCUUGUUUCUCUUGUGAGUAAACCUGUCUUUCUGUUUUUUACCUCUAUAAAGCACCUUGUUUUACACCUGGCUGUACAAAUGUUACUGUAUAAAUAAAUAUUUGAUUGAUUUAUGUGU